UACGUAGGUGGCAAGCGUUGUCCGGAUUUACUGGGUGUAAAGGGCGUGCAGCCGGGCUGACAAGUCAGAUGUGAAAUCCCGCGGCUAAACCGCGGAACUGCAUUUGAAACUGUCAGUCUUGAGUACCGGAGAGGUCAUCGGAAUUCCUUGUGUAGCGGUGAAAUGCGUAGAUAUAAGGAAGAACACCAGUGGCGAAGGCGGAUGACUGGACGGCAACUGACGGUGAGGCGCGAAAGCGUGGGGAGCAAACAGG
rnacentral:rRNA from 1 species